rnacentral:rRNA from 1 species
CUACCAGCGGCGAGCAGAAGAGAGGAAGAAGCUCAAAUUUAUAAUCUGGCACCUUCGGUGUCCGAGUUGUAAUCUCUAGAAAUGUUUUCCGCGUUGGACCGCACACAAGUCUGUUGGAAUACAGCGGCAUAGUGGUGAGACCCCCGUAUAUGGUGCGGACGCCCAGCGCUUUGUGAUACAUUUUCGAAGAGUCGAGUUGUUUGGGAAUGCAGCUCAAAUUGGGUGGUAAAUUCCAUCUAAAGCUAAAUAUUGGCGAGAGACCGAUAGCGAACAAGUACCGUGAGGGAAAGAUGAAAAGCACUUUGGAAAGAGAGUUAACAGUACGUGAAAUUGUUGGAAGGGAAACGCUUGAAGUCAGACUUGCUUGCCGAGCAAUCGGUUUGCAGGCCAGCAUCAGUUUUCCGGGAUGGAUAAUGGUAGAGAGAAGGUAGCAGUUUCGGCUGUGUUAUAGCUCUCUGCUGGAUACAUCUUGGGGGACUGAGGAACGCAGUGUGCCUUUGGCGGGGGUUUCGACCUCUUCACACUUAGGAUGCUGGUGGAAUGGCUUUAAACGACCCGUCUGA